rnacentral:rRNA from 1 species
GAUGAACGCUGGCGGCGUGCCUAAUACAUGCAAGUCGAGCGAACAGACGAGGAGCUUGCUCCUCUGACGUUAGCGGCGGACGGGUGAGUAACACGUGGAUAACCUACCUAUAAGACUGGGAUAACUUCGGGAAACCGGAGCUAAUACCGGAUAAUAUAUUGAACCGCAUGGUUCAAUAGUGAAAGACGGCUUUGCUGUCACUUAUAGAUGGAUCCGCGCCGCAUUAGCUAGUUGGUAAGGUAACGGCUUACCAAGGCAACGAUGCGUAGCCGACCUGAGAGGAUGAUCGGCCACACUGGAACUGAGACACGGUCCAGACUCCUACGGGAGGCAGCAGUAGGGAAUCUUGCGCAAUGGGCGAAAGCCUGACGGAGCAACGCCGCGUGUGUGAUGAAGGUCUUCGGAUCGUAAAACUCUGUUAUUAGGGAAGAACAAAUGUGUAAGUAACUAUGCACGUCUUGACGGUACCUAAUCAGAAAGCCACGGCUAACUACGUG